UGGAAGUGCAGGAUUCACUCCCCUCCUGCGACCUAGGCAGGCAUGAGGGUGUGAUGGCCGCGCAUUCGCCAGACGAGAGCGAUGGCUGAGAACGCCGCACCAGGUCUGAUCUCAGAGCUGAAGCUGGCUGUGCCCUGGGGCCACAUCGCAGCCAAAGCCUGGGGCCCUGCAGGGCCCUCCCGUUCUCUGCCUGCACGGCUGGCUGGACAAUGCCAACUCCUUCAACAGACUCAUCCCUCUUCUCCCGCAAGACUUUUAUUACGUUGCCAUGGAUUUCGGAGGUCAUGGGCUCUCGUCCCAUUACAGCCCAGGUGUCCCAUAUUACCUCCAGACUUUUGUGAGUGAGAUCCGAAGAGUUGCGGCAGCCUUGAAAUGGAAUCGAUUCUCCAUUCUGGGCCACAGCUUCGGUGGCGUCGUGGGUGGAAUGUUUUCCUGUACCUUCCCCGAGAUGGUGGAUAAACUUGUCUUGCUGGACAUGCCGCUCUUUCUCCUGGAAUCAGAUGAAAUGGAGAACUUGCUGACCUACAAGCGGAGAGCCAUACAGCACGUGCUGCAGGUAGAGGCCUCCCAGGAGCCCUCGCACGCGUUCAGCCUGAAGCAGCUGCUGCAGAGGUAGAGAACAGCACUUCCUCAGCAGGGAGCUGUGUGUGCAUUCCAUCAGGAAGCUGCAGGCCCAUGUCCUGUUGAUCAAAGCAGUCCACGGAUAUUUUGAUCCAAGAGAGAAUUACUCUGACAAGGAGUCCCUGUCGUUCAUGAUAGACACGAUGAAAUCCACCCUCAAAGAGGACUACUUCGGAUACAAUCACAGCAACCCUGGCCUCGGCCCUGCCCUGUCCCUGCCAUGCAGCUUCACAACUCAGCUGGCCUAGACCCCUGAGAGGCCUCCAAGUCCCUAGGCGGUUCCAGUUUGUGGAAGUCCCAGGCAAUCACUGUGUCCACAUGAGCGAACCCCAGCACGUGGCCAGUAUCAUCAGCUCCUUCUUACAGUGCACACACACGCUCCCAGCCCAGCUGUAGCUCUGGGCCUGGAACUAUGAAGACCUAGUGCUCCCAGACUCAACACUGGGACUCUGAGUUCCUGAGCCCCACAACAAGGCCAGGGAUGGUGGGGACAUGCCUCACUAGUCUUGAGGCCCAGCCUAGGAUGGUAGUCAGGGGAAGGAGUGAGAUUCCAACUUCAACAUCUGUGACCUCAAGGGGGAGACAGAGUCUGGGUUCCAGGGCUGCUUUCUCCUGGCUAAUAAUCUCCAGCCAGCUGGAGGAAGGAAGGGCGGGCUGGGCGCACCUAGCCUUUCCCUGCUGCCCAACUGGAUGGAAAAUAAAAGGUUCUUGUAUUCUCA
rnacentral:antisense_RNA from 1 species